GACGAACGCUGGCGGCGUGCCUAAUACAUGCAAGUAGAACGCCGUUCCGAACGGGUUAGUACCGCGUAGGUAACUGCCUCAUAGCGGGGGAUAACUAUUGGAAACGAUAGCUAAUACCCCAUACUUUGAGAUGGACCUUCGUUGUAUUAGCUAUUUGGUGAGGUAAAGGAUGACCAAGGCGACGAUACAUAUCCGACCUGAGAGGGUGAUCAGCCACAAGGGGACUCGGACGCGGACCAGAGUCCAACGGGAGGCAGCAGUAGGGAAACUUCGGAAAUGGACGGAAGGCUGACCGAGCAACGCCGCGUGAGUGAAGAAGGUUUUCGGAGCGUAAAGCUCUGUUGUUAGAGAAGCGGUAAAUAACCAGAAAGAGACGGCUAACUACGUGCCAGCAGCCGCGGUAAUUA
rnacentral:rRNA from 1 species